UUUGAUUUCCACAAAUAUAGUUUAUUUAUUUAUUUUAUAGCUCCUCUAAUAUCCUGAUUCAUCAACACUUAAGCUCCCUAGACUUCAACUCCUGCCAAUAUUUGGGAGCUGCUGAAAUCAUCAGGGCAAAGCAGGUAUCUUGGAAUGGACUACACUACUGGAAAUGAACAUAUAAUCAAACCCACCGGUGAUUCUGGGUGAAGCUAAUGACCAGGCAGAAUUUUCAAAUCCGUUUUUCCUGGUCUGAUGAAGCCCAUGGAGCCCCUUAAUAGAAUGCUUGUUAAGCUACUUAAUAAUAAUAAUAAUAACAAUAACAACAACAAUAAUAAUAAUAAUAGCUUACAUUUACAACAUUACACUUAAAAGGUUUAUAAAGCGCUUUACAUACAUUAUCUCAUUUGAUCCUCACAACAACCCUGUGAGGUAGGCAGUACAGGAAUUUUACAGAUGAGGAAACAAAGGUUUAAAGAAUUUUAAGGAACUUGUCAUUAACAUACAGUGAGUAACCUAGACUUGUACAUCAGUCUUUAGCCUUUCAGCCAAGGACUCUUCUAGAUACUGCUAGGUAGUAGGGCACUCGAAGGCAACCAGAAGCAGAUCAAGACUCACUGGAACCACUGGUAAAAACAAUGCUACACGAUUUACUGUUGGCAAAACUGUCAUCUGGUUUUCCCAUCAUUGAUAGAUGAGGGAAAGAGGAAUGAGAGGUGGUGAGGAUAAAGCAGAAGACAGGAAAAAUCCUUAAAACCAAUCUUCACUGAAAAUCAGCUUCUUUUUCCCAAAAUAAUGAUUCUUCCACUAUUAGUCACAACUAGUGAUCAUUGACAUCCAAGAUGUCCUUGUAGAUGGAGAUCAUCGCACUGGGUUGUCGUCUCACUUCAUUCCUUCAAAACUGGGAAUUUCUUUUAAAAUCCCCUGAGUUAUGUUUAACUCCAUCCCUCAGCUGAGUAGUAUGACAUGAUGAAUGUUGGAUCAGAGCCAGGAAAUAGGUUCCCAUUCUAGCCCUGCCUGUGUGGCUUUGUAAGUUCACUUAGCCUCAAUUUCUUCAUCUGUAAGAAUUAGGGGGUUAGACAAUUUUUAAGAUCACUCCCAAGUUUUGAACUUCCAAAUGUUUAAUUAAAAUUCAAAGAGGAGAAAGAAUCAAAAAUGAUCUUACUUCUCUUCUCCCUCCUCUUCCCUGACUCCUAUUAAUAAAACCCAGGGCCCAGAGAGAUGGGUUUUUAAAGACCUGCUCUGGCUUAACAAUCUAUGAUGCUAAAAUGUAGGAUCAAACAUCUGGUAUGAGAAUAAAAAGCAGGAACUUAGGGUAUAUGCAGUAGAGUAGGGGCAGAGGAAGAACACCUGAGAUCCCCAAAUGGACCAGAGCAGAGAAAACAGGAAUCCAUUUACAAGAUAGGACAGGGAAUGUUAAUAAUGUCAAAUCCUGUUACCGUUAUUGGAUUGGAGGUCCACAGAUCAU
rnacentral:lncRNA from 1 species